UUAUUAUGUUCUUCAAUAUAUAUUUUAUCAUUGAAAGUUAGAAUGUUAAAUGCUUUGGACAUGGUAAGUAAUACAGGUCAGGGACACUAUAAUUGUAUCAUUUCUGGAAGGAACCCCCACUCAGUAGCUCCCAUAUCAUUGCUAAGCUCAAGGAAAUUAUUCCAGGCUUCUGCAACCCAUGCUGACCUACUAGAAGCAAGGACCAGAAAUGGAUUCUCUAUGAGGAUAUCCCAGGAAAGCAGUAGUGUUAAGCCAAGAUAUGUUGUAUGUUGUGAGGAGCCAUCAGAGAAACAUCAGCUGGCAGGAUCUGUACCUCAACGACCCAGGAUAGGUUCACAAAGAUGGAGAAGUGAGGGGAUGGUGUGUGAGAGGAUUAAAAAGGGUUCUGCUUCUACAGAUCACAUACCUGUAUUUCAAAAGCAAGAUAAGGUGACACUUGGACACUACUCCUCAAGUAGUGUUUGUGGAGGAAAGAAUAUUGGAUCUCAGCCUGUAAAUGAUAUGCAACAUGGGAGUAACAUUAAUAGAAAGAACUCAAGAAUUUGCCUCAUUAGACCUACAUCCAUCCAUGGACCAUUCUCAAGGUUUUUACUUAAGCUGGAAAUGGAGGGUAUUGAAAAGAAGUCACGACAUCAGCAUUUACUCAGAGGUUCAGAAGGGAGACGGUGCUCUAAUAGAGGAGAAUCGGUUAAACAUCAAGAGAGCGAGACACACAGGAUACCAGCUGGAAACCAUGAGAGUAAAAAUGAAGAAAAGAAAAAUUGGAAUAUGAACAGGAAGGUUGAUGACAAUAGAAAUUCUAGAGAUGAAAAUAUUUCACAAUGGGACAUGAAGAAAGAUAUUGUGAAAAAUAAGAGUGAGAAGAAUGAGGCAAGAGAGGAAAAUGGGAACAGUAAGAGAAAAGAGAAAGAAGCAUCUGGUACUCAAAGCAGGAGCAAGAGAAUCAAAACUAUAUUGCAGGUGAAUACAAAAUACAACUUAAUUCAAAAUGAAACUGGCAGUACAGAAACUGAAGAGAAUACCAAUGCUAUAAGGAAUGGGAAACAACAGGCUCAAAGUAUUAAUAAGAGUAGGAAGCAACAAUGCAUUUUGGAAGAAAAUGACAGUUCACAUCAUGAAAUCAAGGAUGAAAUUAGUCGAGAUGAUUUUUUGAGAAACAAAUUGCAUGAGGGAUCUUGUGCUAAGUAUAAUCCUGAUAAAAUAAACAGCUACAAAAAGAAGAAAACUAAAGUCACAUACAAAAUAAAGGAUAAUGUAAGACAAGAUUUGUCACACAUUGAAGCAAAGCAUAACAAUUAUAUAGAUGAUAUAAAGAAUAAACAAGUGCAGAACAAGAAACACACUGAGACACACAAAUGCAAUAAAAGAACUAAGGUGUUUGAGGACACUGAACAAAAUGUGACUCUGUUGACGAUUAUGGACUCGGAUUUUGAUACGCCAGAAAGAGUCGAUUCAAAGCCGAUUAAGGAACACAAGGUAGACAAAAAGGGAAGCGAGUUUUAUUCAAAAAAUAGAGCAAAGAAAAGUGAAGAAAAUAACAGGAAUAAGAAAUCUAACGUAUUCCAACAGAGUGGUAAAAAUAAGAAAAGAGCAGUAAAUAGCAUUUCAACGUCAAGUCUCAUGAUUGGUGCUCCACGUGUACGACAGAUGCUUUCAUUAAGUCCAGAACGACACAAAGGAAGAAUUUGGGCACCACUGAAAAUUCCACAAGAGUCAUUUAUAUUUCAUGAAAAUGAAGAUUAUCAUGAUUCUCAAGGAAAAUAUGAACAUCCUAAACACACACAUGCUAAAACCUGUAAUAAUACUGAAAACAAUACGAACAGUGAAUGGGAAAUUAGACGCAUAGAAAUGCUUUUGGGUUCUCAAUUUGAUAAUUCAAGUGCAACAAGCACUGUUCCAUAUGGUAUUUAUAGGAACACUGAUCAGAUUCAAAAUUAUGAUACAUGGGAGCAAUCUCAUAACAAAAGUGCCAUGCCAAUGUUAACAGAUUCUCCAAAAAAAAAUGUACAACUUACAGCAGAGGAAUUAAAUAAUUUUGAAAAUCAUGAAAAUGCAUUGUAUAAUGGUGCAAGAAGGCUUGGGGAAAGAAGGUUACAAGUUCUUUAUAAAGGUACUGAUAAAAUUCAGUUGGACAAAUCUCAUAAAGUUAAAGAAAUACCUGUUGAAAAUAAACCUAAACUUAGUACAUUUACUCGCAAAAUAGAAAAAAUUGAAAGUGGGUUAAGUUUUGCCCAUCAAAGAAAAGAUAAAACUCCAUACUUGGAUAGGAGUUUUGGUACUUCAUGGAAUUUAAGCAAUUUAAUUAGUACUCCUAACAGUAAAUCUUCAUCUAAGACUCCCACUGAUCCUACAUUUGAAAGAUCACUUGAAGAUCUUCUUGAAAGUCAAGGAGGAUCAGAGUUAUGCUGUGUGACUGCUGAUAAUUCCCUAGAACUUUUGCUAAAUUUUGAAAUUAAUAGAGAGUCAGAAAAUAAUAGCAGGAGCAUAGCUAGGGAAGUUACUUCACAUGUCUCAUCACACCAGGUGUGUACUGAGAACAUUGACUGCACAGCAUGAGGAUGGGUGAACGGAAAAUGCUAUUACAAAUUGUGUUAGUGAAAAAGAUAAUUGUUUCUUGGUAAAUUUAAAUUUAGUAUCAUGUAUAUCUGAUUGCACAUUUUUGCAUACCAGUUAUAAAAAUAAGUUGACUUCUGAUCUUUUGAGUGACAAAUUGAGAAAUUUUCAGGAUAUUGAUUUUACUUGUACACACACUCCAUGAAAUUAUUUUAAAGCUGUAGUUGGCUCUAAAGAUCAUAUUAUGGGUAAUAAUGGCUAUUUCCCACAGAAGGUAACCUGCAAAGGUCUUGUUUUCAUUAUUUACAGUCAUGUAAAUAAUCGUACACCCAUUGGUGAGAAUUCUUUUUUUACUCGUUUUCCACAAGUUAAAAAAAAUACACUAAUCACAGUGAAUAUCAUGGCCUUAGAAUAUCUGAACAUAAUAUUGAAAAAUACAAGAAUGACAGUAUAAAUGGUAGCUGUAGUGAAAAUACAAAACAUGCUUUAAAUGCAACAUUUUAAUGUAAAUGUGUUCUGCAUAUUUCUUUGAAAAUACUGUAGCAAACAAAUUAAUUUCUGGAAUGGAAGUUGUGCAUUUAAAAAAAAAAAUAAAGUUGAGAGAGUGAGAUCACGAGUAGAACUCCUGAUACAUAUGGAGGGGAAAAAAUUACCAAUAGCAACAAAAGUUGUGGGAGAAAAUGUCAGAAUAAGAAGAUAGUCAAUAAAAUCUCAGAACACACUUAGAAGAACACAGAGUAGGUCGAGGACUUAACUGUAAAUAUGACAUUAUUAGGAAACAGUCAAAAUGUUAACAAAGAAAACAUUAGGCAUUUAUCAUCGUCUAGAGGUCAGUUUUUGUAACUUAUUGUUUGUUAGGGCACUGCAUUAUUAUUAUUAUACAUGUUUUUCUUUUGCUUAGGAAUGUAAUAUUUGUUGGAAUAUAUAUUAUUACUACUAACAAAGAGAACAUCAUAUUCUUAGUUAUUAUUACCAGGUUUUUGGUAAUGCAUUCCAAAUUUGUUUGUUUUCAUUGUAUGUUUCAUCAUUACCCUAUUAAUGCUGGUUUAGUUGUAAAAUAAACAAGGCCGAUUACUGUACCUUGCAGUAUAAACAAAUACAUAUUUAUCAGUUUA
rnacentral:misc_RNA from 1 species